rnacentral:rRNA from 1 species
UUGACCUCGAAUCAGGUAGGAAUACCCGCUGAACUUAAGCAUAUCAAUAAGCGGAGGAAAAGAAACCAACCGGGAUUACCUCAGUAACGGCGAGUGAAGCGGUAACAGCUCAAAUUUGAAAUCUGGCUCUUCCGGAGUCCGAGUUGUAAUUUGUAGAAGAUGCUUUGGGUUGUGGGUUCGGCCUAAGUUCCUUGGAACAGGACGUCAUAGAGGGUGAGAAUCCCGUAUGUGGCCGAGGCCCGCGCCUAUGUAAAGCUCUUUCAACGAGUCGAGUUGUUUGGGAAUGCAGCUCAAAAUGGGUGGUAAAUUUCAUCUAAAGCUAAAUAUGGGCCAGAGACCGAUAGCGCACAAGUAGAGUGAUCGAAAGAUGAAAAGCACUUUGGAAAGAGAGUUAAACAGUACGUGAAAUUGUUGAAAGGGAAGCGCUUGCAACCAGACUUGGGCGCUGCCGAUCACCUUGAGUUUUCUCGAGUGCACUCGACAGCGCACAGGCCAGCAUCGGUUCGGGUGGCUGGAUAAAGGCCGUAGGAAUGUGGCUCUCUUCGGGGAGUGUUAUAGCCUACGGUGCCAUGCAGCCCAGCCGGACCGAGGACCGCGCCUUCGGGCUAGGAUGCUGGCGUAAUGGUUGUAAGCGACCCGUCUUGAAACACGGACCAAGGAGUCUAACAUCUAUGCGAGUGUUUGGGUGGUAAACCCAUACGCGGAAUGAAAGUGAACGUAGGUGAGAACCCCUUUGGGGCGCAUCAUCGACCGAUCCUGAUGUCUUCGGAUGGAUUUGAGUAAGAGCAUAGCUGUUGGGAC